GGGCCUUUGGUAUAGCUGGUGCGUACGAGCGACUGAAAAUCGCUAAGACCAAGUUCGAUUCUUGGAGGGCCCACCA
rnacentral:tRNA from 1 species